rnacentral:lncRNA from 1 species
CUAAAAAUCCAAGGGGAAUGGUUGGUACUUGGGUUUGUUCAGUUUGGGAAUCAGGUAAAAGGAACACAAAGACCUAGGAUUGUUUCACAAAUAAAAAGCAUACAAGUGGGACAGAACCUUCAUUCUCCCAUGAAGUAUUCCCACUGAGUGUUCUUGCGAAUGAGAUUAGCCUGAUACAUUUUUGUUGUUGUGUUUACCUUUUAUUUUGUACUAACAUGAAAAUUAAUUUUCUUGCUUUGUUCAUAGUUAUGAUUAAAAUCAUGCCACUUUUUAAUUUGCUUUCUAUUUGGAGAAUGAUUUUCAUUUAGUUUUUGUGUGUUUGUUUGUCCUGGAGUUUUUAAUUGUUAUUCUUGUUUCUUGUUAGCAAAAGAAUAACUAUACUUUCCAGUUGCUCCAUCUUCUCAUCUUCUUGGUCAGAGAAUCCUCAAGUGGCGUACCUUCCCCUCUUCUUCUUUACCUGAGACGCUCCCUCUCAGCGCCUGUGUCCUUCAGACCCAAAGCUGC